AGUUUGAUCAUGGCUCAGAUUGAACGCUGGCGGCAGGCCUAACACAUGCAAGUCGAGCGGUAACACAGAGAGCUUGCUCUCGGGUGACGAGCGGCGGACGGGUGAGUAAUGUCUGGGAAACUGCCUGAUGGAGGGGGAUAACUACUGGAAACGGUAGCUAAUACCGCAUAACGUCGCAAGACCAAAGUGGGGGACCUUCGGGCCUCAUGCCAUCAGAUGUGCCCAGAUGGGAUUAGCUAGUAGGUGGGGUAAUGGCUCACCUAGGCGACGAUCCCUAGCUGGUCUGAGAGGAUGACCAGCCACACUGGAACUGAGACACGGUCCAGACUCCUACGGGAGGCAGCAGUGGGGAAUAUUGCACAAUGGGCGCAAGCCUGAUGCAGCCAUGCCGCGUGUAUGAAGAAGGCCUUCGGGUUGUAAAGUACUUUCAGCGAGGAGGAAGGCGUUAAGGUUAAUAACCUUGGCGAUUGACGUUACUCGCAGAAGAAGCACCGGCUAACUCCGUGCCAGCAGCCGCGGUAAUACGGAGGGUGCAAGCGUUAAUCGGAAUUACUGGGCGUAAAGCGCACGCAGGCGGUCUGUCAAGUCGGAUGUGAAAUCCCCGGGCUCAACCUGGGAACUGCAUUCGAAACUGGCAGGCUAGAGUCUUGUAGAGGGGGGUAGAAUUCCAGGUGUAGCGGUGAAAUGCGUAGAGAUCUGGAGGAAUACCGGUGGCGAAGGCGGCCCCCUGGACAAAGACUGACGCUCAGGUGCGAAAGCGUGGGGAGCAAACAGGAUUAGAUACCCUGGUAGUCCACGCCGUAAACGAUGUCGACUUGGAGGUUGUGCCCUUGAGGCGUGGCUUCCGGAGCUAACGCGUUAAGUCGACCGCCUGGGGAGUACGGCCGCAAGGUUAAAACUCAAAUGAAUUGACGGGGGCCCGCACAAGCGGUGGAGCAUGUGGUUUAAUUCGAUGCAACGCGAAGAACCUUACCUACUCUUGACAUCCAGAGAACUUAGCAGAGAUGCUUUGGUGCCUUCGGGAACUCUGAGACAGGUGCUGCAUGGCUGUCGUCAGCUCGUGUUGUGAAAUGUUGGGUUAAGUCCCGCAACGAGCGCAACCCUUAUCCUUUGUUGCCAGCGAUUCGGUCGGGAA
rnacentral:rRNA from 1 species